rnacentral:rRNA from 1 species
CUACGGGAGGCAGCAGUAGGGAAUCUUGCACAAUGGGCGAAAGCCUGAUCCAGCCAUGCCGCGUGAGUGAUGAAGGCCUUAGGGUUGUAAAGCUCUUUCGGCGGGGAAGAUAAUGACGGUACCCGCAGAAGAAGCCCCGGCUAACUUCGUGCCAGCAGCCGCGGUAAUACGAAGGGGGCUAGCGUUGCUUGGAAUCACUGGGCGUAAAGCGCACGUAGGCGGCUUACUAAGUCAGGGGUGAAAUCCUGGAGCUCAACUCCAGAACUGCCUUUGAUACUGGUGAGCUUGAGUUCGGGAGAGGUGAGUGGAACUGCGAGUGUAGAGGUGAAAUUCGUAGAUAUUCGCAAGAACACCAGUGGCGAAGGCGGCUCACUGGCCCGAUACUGACGCUGAGGUGCGAAAGCGUGGGGAGCAAACAGGAUUAGAAACCCUAGUAGUCC